UACGGAGGGUGCAAGCGUUAUCCGGAUUCACUGGGUUUAAAGGGUGCGUAGGCGGGCAGGUAAGUCAGUGGUGAAAUCUCCGGGCUUAACCCGGAAACUGCCGUCGAUACUAUCUGUCUUGAAUAUCGUGGAGGUAAGCGGAAUAUGUCAUGUAGCGGUGAAAUGCUUAGAUAUGACAUAGAACACCCAUUGCGAAGGCAGCUUACUACACGAUCAUUGACGCUGAGGCACGAAAGCGUGGGGAGCAAACAGG
rnacentral:rRNA from 1 species